rnacentral:rRNA from 1 species
UACGUAGGGGGCAAGCGUUGUCCGGAUUUAUUGGGCGUAAAGAGCUCGUAGGCGGUUUGGUAAGUCGGGUGUGAAAUCUCCAGGCUCAACCUGGAGGGGUCAUUCGAUACUGCCAUGACUAGAGUUCGGUAGGGGUGUGUGGAAUUCCUGGUGGAGCGGUGAAAUGCGCAGAGAUCAGGAGGAACACCCGUAGCGAAGGCGGCACACUGGGCCGAUACUGACGCUGAGGAGCGAAAGCGUGGGGAGCGAACAGG